AGAGUUUGAUCCUGGCUCAGGACGAACGCUGGCGGCGUGCCUAAUACAUGCAAGUCGAACGCUUCUUUUUCCACCGGAGCUUGCUCCACCGGAAAAAGAGGAGUGGCGAACGGGUGAGUAACACGUGGGUAACCUGCCCAUCAGAAGGGGAUAACACUUGGAAACAGGUGCUAAUACCGUAUAACAAUCGAAACCGCAUGGUUUUGAUUUGAAAGGCGCUUUCGGGUGUCGCUGAUGGAUGGACCCGCGGUGCAUUAGCUAGUUGGUGAGGUAACGGCUCACCAAGGCCACGAUGCAUAGCCGACCUGAGAGGGUGAUCGGCCACAUUGGGACUGAGACACGGCCCAAACUCCUACGGGAGGCAGCAGUAGGGAAUCUUCGGCAAUGGACGAAAGUCUGACCGAGCAACGCCGCGUGAGUGAAGAAGGUUUUCGGAUCGUAAAACUCUGUUGUUAGAGAAGAACAAGGAUGAGAGUAACUGUUCAUCCCUUGACGGUAUCUAACCAGAAAGCCACGGCUAACUACGUGCCAGCAGCCGCGGUAAUACGUAGGUGGCAAGCGUUGUCCGGAUUUAUUGGGCGUAAAGCGAGCGCAGGCGGUUUCUUAAGUCUGAUGUGAAAGCCCCCGGCUCAACCGGGGAGGGUCAUUGGAAACUGGGAGACUUGAGUGCAGAAGAGGAGAGUGGAAUUCCAUGUGUAGCGGUGAAAUGCGUAGAUAUAUGGAGGAACACCAGUGGCGAAGGCGGCUCUCUGGUCUGUAACUGACGCUGAGGCUCGAAAGCGUGGGGAGCAAACAGGAUUAGAUACCCUGGUAGUCCACGCCGUAAACGAUGAGUGCUAAGUGUUGGAGGGUUUCCGCCCUUCAGUGCUGCAGCUAACGCAUUAAGCACUCCGCCUGGGGAGUACGACCGCAAGGUUGAAACUCAAAGGAAUUGACGGGGGCCCGCACAAGCGGUGGAGCAUGUGGUUUAAUUCGAAGCAACGCGAAGAACCUUACCAGGUCUUGACAUCCUUUGACCACUCUAGAGAUAGAGCUUCCCCUUCGGGGGCAAAGUGACAGGUG
rnacentral:rRNA from 1 species